GACGAACGCUGGCGGCGUGCUUAACACAUGCAAGUCGAACGGAAAGGCUCCAGAUUGCUGGAGUACUCGAGUGGCGAACGGGUGAGUAACACGUGGGUAAUCUGCCCUGCACUCUGGGAUAAGCCUGGGAAACUGGGUCUAAUACUGGAUAUGACCUUUCUCCUUAUGGGGUUUGGUGGAAAGUUUUUCGGUGUAGGAUGAGCCCGCGGCCUAUCAGCUUGUUGGUGGGGUGAUGGCCUACCAAGGCGACGACGGGUAGCCGGCCUGAGAGGGUGAUCGGCCACAUUGGGACUGAGAGACGGCCCAGACUCCUACGGGAGGCAGCAGUGGGGAAUAUUGCACAAUGGGCGGAAGCCUGAUGCAGCGACGCCGCGUGAGGGAUGACGGCCUUCGGGUUGUAAACCUCUUUCAGCAGGGACGAAGCGUAAGUGACGGUACCUGCAGAAGAAGCACCGGCUAACUACGUG
rnacentral:rRNA from 1 species